UACGGAGGGUGCGAGCGUUGUCCGGAAUCACUGGGCGUAAAGGGCGCGUAGGUGGCCGAGCAAGGUCGCGGUGAAAGCUUGGGGCUCAACCCCAAGUCGGCCGUGGCAACUACUUGGCUUGAGCACUGUAGGGGCGGGUGGAAUUCCGGGUGUAGCGGUGGAAUGCGUAAAGAUCGGGAAGAACAUCAGUGGCGAAGGCGGCCUGCUGGGCUGUUGCUGACGCUGAGGCGCGACAGCGUGGGGAGCAAACAGG
rnacentral:rRNA from 1 species